rnacentral:rRNA from 1 species
CAAUAGCGUAUAUUAAAGUUGUUGCAGUUAAAAAGCUCGUAGUUGGAUUUGUGGCGUACGGUGUGUUCCGGGCACUUGUUGUCUGAGUAACCUGCUGUUGCCAUCCUUGGGUGGAACCUGUGUGGCAUUAGGUUGUCGUGCAGGGGAUGCCCAUCAUUUACUGUGAAAAAAUUAGAGUGUUCAAAGCAGGCUUAUGCCGUUGAAUAUAUUAGCAUGGAAUAAUGAGAUAGGACUUUUUUGCUAUUUUGUUGGUUUGCGCAAAGAGGUAAUGAUUAAUAGGGACAGUUGGGGGUAUUCGUAUUCCAUUGUCAGAGGUGAAAUUCUUGGAUUUUUGGAAGACGAAAUACUGCGAAAGCAUUUACCAAGGAUGUUUUCAUUAA